rnacentral:lncRNA from 1 species
ACAACACCAAUAAUGAGGAUCUUCCAGGAUACCGUCCUGUAGUCCGUUUUGUCAAUCUGUAAGAGGAGCUCCCGAGAUACCGUUCCGCAGUCCACAUAUGAAUAUAUCUCUGAAGGAUCUCCCAGGAAUCUAACAUGUAGUCCAUCGCAUAUAAAUACCCAGUACUGGGGGAAUCUACCGGCUGCAUUGUCGUAGUUCCAUAUGACAGUGUAGAGGGAUCUAUUGGGAAUCAAACCC